rnacentral:lncRNA from 1 species
UAUUUAACAAAGAAUUGUCAUUGGUUGUAUUUAUAUGGAAUAACAGAGGCCAUCGGUGACAGCUGACACCCUGUUCUACGAGUCAGUCCAGCAGACCCUUCAGUUGAGGACUGGCAAGAUGUCUGACAUCCCGGUAGGUUAAACAACAACACCCACUCUGCACCACUAGAGGGAAACACCAUGUUCCACUUGUAAUAAUCAGGUCAUGCCAUUAGAAUUCCUCAAGAUUGGAUUCCCAUCUUCUUUUGAAAGAUCAAAGGUAACAAUAUGUACCUACACUUUAAUGACACUGCACCUACCAUGUAAAUACAUCAGGGGUAGUUACAACCCCAUCAUUCGGACACAUUUUAAACCCAGGUUUGGGUUCUCUCUAUUGAAGUGACAUCAACCCUUCUUCAGUCCUCUCAUAGGAAUCCCCCUAUUUUCUCUGUGUUUGAUAGGAGGAGCCAGAGGAGGUGUAUGAGAGGGCCCAUCCCUCCAUCGUACCCCUGAAGGAUGCUCCACCCUGCACAGAGGCAGACAGCAUCCUCAACUAUAUCACUGUGCAUUACUCCAGGAUCCCAAGUCUGGACCAGAUUCAAGUUACAAAUGUACCACUGGAUGGCGAUAAAGAGCCAAAGGAUGCUGCCAAUGUUGUUUACACUGUCCUGGCCAGACCACACCAGUAGUAGUGCAGAUGAGAACUGUAGCUCCAAAUGAGUGACAUCGCCAGAAGGAUCUCUACCAUCGACCCCUGAACUGCUUCUGAGCUGGACUGCUCACUCUAAGCCAAUUUACUGUUUAUCUAAUUUACUACAAAGUCUAAUUUACUAGGAAUAGUUAAAGUAGUUACUUGUAAUUCAUUUGGCAUUAUAAGUGGCAUUAUAACUCAUUUAUUAGCAUUUAACGUUUUACUAGUAGUGGCCAGAUAAUGAAAUAUUCCGAUAUCAGAAUCAUCCUUAAAAUGUAUCUUUUUCACCCUCAGAAGGAAGUCAUUUUGGACAUUUUCUCUCUGGGUUCUCUCUAUCUCCUCCAUAAGAUAUCAUUAAAAUGUAACAUACUUUAAAAAUGAAGUUUGGUAUGCAUCAUCACUCAUGCUAGUCUUAUGGAGAAUGUGUGUAAAUGUGUUACUGAUCAUAUCUUAUGUUUAGGGUAUGGUUGGUAUGUCCCAAAUUGCUUGUUGAAAUAGAUUUUUGUCAAAUAAACAUUUUUAAAUGAAGAAAUAAUUGCU